AAACGACAUUACUUACACUCAGAGAGUUGACCCGAUUACAAUUUAUUGAGGUGGAAACAAACCUGAAAGUGUAAACCAUUCAAACUUUGGCUGGUCUUCCAGGAUGUUGCUACCAUCUCCAGUGAACCACCGUGGAAUGAACAGCGUCUCAGGGGUUCUCUGAAUCCUAACCCUGUUCCGCCAAAGCCACCCUUUCUACUAAGUUAUUGUCUCCAAAAUCUGCCUCCCUUCUCCUUGAGUCUACCUUCCUCUGUUCCUGGCCCAAGCAAACUCAUCCUUCAGUCUCU
rnacentral:lncRNA from 1 species